AUUGAACGCUGGCGGCAUGCUUUACACAUGCAAGUCGAACGGUAACAGGCCUUCGGGUGCUGACGAGUGGCGAACGGGUGCGUAAUGCAUCGGAACGUGCCCAGAGGUGGGGGAUAACGCAGCGAAAGCUGUGCUAAUACCGCAUGUGAUCUGAGGAUGAAAGCGGGGGACCAGGCAGCAAUGUUUGGCCUCGCGCCUUUGGAGCGGCCGAUGUCAGAUUAGGUAGUUGGUGGGGUAAAGGCCUACGAAGCCGACGAUCUGUAGCUGGUCUGAGAGGACGACCAGCCACACUGGGACUGAGACACGGCCCAGACUCCUACGGGAGGCAGCAGUGGGGAAUUUUGGACAAUGGGCGCAAGCCUGAUCCAGCAAUGCCGCGUGCGGGAAGAAGGCCUUCGGGUUGUAAACCGCUUUUGUACGGAACGAAAAGGCUCUGGCUAAUACCUGGGGCUGAUGACGGUACCGUAAGAAUAAGCACCGGCUAACUACGUG
rnacentral:rRNA from 1 species